rnacentral:lncRNA from 1 species
UUAUAGGUAUAUCUCAUAAUAUUACAUCUCAUAUUGCUCACUCAUUACAAUAGUGAGCAAUAUGAGAUAUAACAUAUUAUAGUAUAAGUCUCUGUGCAUGGCCAGAUUAACAUGUGUGGUGCAUAUCUCGAACAAGCUCCACUUGGCUGGUACCACAUACUUAAAUCAUUUAUUUAGUUACACAGUACUACUCACAUAACUUAUGUGUCGUCAGUACCUUCCGUAAAACCGUCGUGAUGCUACCCAUACGUCAUGGCCACUGAAUGUGUUAAAGCUUGUUAAUGUAGGAGAGUUAUACUAAAAUAUAUAUCUUAUAUUAUAUUGCCUUA